UUUUUCAUAACAAAUUUGCCCUGAGAUUUUGAAUGCACUGUGAUUUUUGCAGUAUAGAUGAGCAGGUAGCAAAGGAUAUACAGCUAAUUGAUUCCAUUACUUUUCGUUCAGCGCAUAUGUAUUCUAAUUCCUUUCAGCUUUUUGGCCCCUAUUUAUUAUGCAAUAUAUACUAGGUAUAGGACCUCAAUGAUGUCUUCUCUUAUUAAGGUUGAUUCCAAAUUGGAUUUUAACACAUCAUGAUGCCGCCUUGACCAUCCUAUCUACUACUUUUACAAUUUCUCUACUGCCUCUUGGUACUAAAAUAUAUAUAUCCUAUCUUCGACUAGGGGGAAUGCAUACUGAGAGAUAGAGAAAGGGGGAGUCUAUAAAUUAGGGAGUAGAAACCAACUGCAGAACAGACUCUUCUAAAAUCCUUGGUUUUCGUUCAGAAGUCAAAACAAUAACAAUGGUGGUAAAGGUGUAUGGCCCCUCCUAUGUUUCUCCUAAACGUGUGUUAGUGUGCCUUGUUGAAAAGGAGAUCUAGUUUGAAACUUCCCCAUUGAUCUCUUCAAGCAAGAACAUAAAGAUCCUGAAUUCCUCAAAUUACAACCUUUUGGAGCGGUUCCUGUUAUUCAAGAGGGAGAUUAUACUUUAUAUGGGUUAUGCAUAUAUACUCACGCAGCCUGGAAUACCUUCCGUUUUCUAUAACCACUUCUAUGAUUCGGGUGAUUCCAUUCAUGAUCAGAUUGUGAAACUGAUACAGCAUUGCAGCUAGCUAGUUCCUUUAUUAACUUGUGUCUAGUAGAAAUUCUUCCUUCAUUAAGCAUUUGGACUUGUCUGCAGAUUCAGAUUAGUAGAUAUGGGCCAUUUUGAACUGAUGCUCAUGAUUAGGUUGUGUACAUAAGACAAUG